UAAUUAAUAAACUAAUUUAAGUUAUAGGAUUCAUGGUCCUAAAAUGAAUUUUUCAAUUCUUAAUUAG
rnacentral:tRNA from 1 species